CUGGUUAGGCCCCUCCUUCCCCUUGUGUGUGUGUUUCCUUUUUAGGAAGGAGUGACAGCAGACAGCAGCGGCAGGUGUAGACAGUUCUCAUCUGAGCAAUCAGCAGAAGUGGGAGCAGAUGUGCAGAACCAAUCAGUCCACCACUCCAUCAUUUUAUAACCUGACUCUUCUCUUCAUUCUUCGUCGGAUCGUAAAAAGCAACUACCUAGACUGCUCCCAGAUUUGGACUCCUCGGACCCACCUGCCUACCGGCCUUCCCCCACCGUCAGGAUUAGUCACCCGGUUCAUUCUCCAACCAUUCCUCCGUCGACUACCAGCUCCUGUCCUCACCAGCCGUCGCCGCUGCAGCCGCACGUCCAUUCCUCCGUUCCAUCGUCGAGCCACAGCCAGCCAUCCCUCCUAGAUGCCAGCUGAGCACCCGUCCGAGCAGACUCCGUUAGUGUUUAUAGUUCUUAAAGAAUAACAGUGCUAUAGUAGUUUUUUGUUUACCGGACCCCGGCUCAUAGUUAAAGUUCCAGUAGCCGUAAUGUUUAGCUUCCUAGUUGUUGGUUAUUCCACUUAAAACAUUUGAGUUUCUAGUUUGCGUGUCUUGUGUAACACUUUAGUUUGGGUGGCUUCCUUAAUAGGCCUUUUGUUUUGAGCUUGCUGAAGUAAUUUGAGCUACUGUAAGCUGUAGUUCUCCUGCCCAGGAAUUACCUGUUGUGGGUCCGCCAGCCACUAGAGGCAACAAUCAGUUCUAGUUAAAGUCGUUAUCCCAUUGUUCCGGUACUCCCGGUAUUUUGAGUUUCUCUGGGAAUUGUAGUUCUUUAUCCCUUGUUUUUGAAUAAAUGACUAUUUAUGCAUAGUCUGACUCCAUCUCUUCCCUGCAUCUGAGCUUUUAAGAUAACAAAACCUAACGGAUGUAUUUAAUUUUGAAAAAAGCAUUUAGCCAUACUUAAAGCUUUAAGUGCUUUAUUAACACGGAACUAAAAAUUUUGUAUUGUUUUAUUAUCACAGGUUCUGUCUGAAAAGAGGUGGCAUCAUUUUAAACAGUGAAAUCAAACUAACAAAAUGUAAUGACCAACCAGUGAGCAAUACUGGAUUCUGCAAAAACAUAAACAACUUUUUUAAAAUCGAAA
ensembl:lncRNA